AUGAAGUCACAGCUAUAUGGAUGGAGGUUCAAGCAGUGCCAACGCCGAGUACGUAUCCUAGAGAAGAAGAAACACAGAGACAGGACACUGACACAACCCAUGUCAGCAUGGGUUCAUAUUGUGCCUUCAACAGCACUUUCUCCCAGGACGCACGUAAAACUGACACAGACAGCAGAGUGCUCUUCUUCCUCUCCAGCUGCUAGACACAGAAGUUCACAUGUGCAGGCACACACGCACACACACGCAGAGCCCUCUCUAGGUUCACAAGCACAUUUGUGGAUCCUGGCAAGAAAUGGCACAUCCUCUCUGUCUUCCCAGCACCCCCCAGCCUGCUUCAGCUGCCCAUGUAGCGUAGUCCUGCACUCUGCUUACUUAUGCUGAUGCCCCCCAGCAGCUGGUUUGGGAACCCACACUGCUCCCGCCCCAUGGCUGGAGGUAGAAGACCUCACUUGCUCCAUUAGCAGGUGCUAGGACCCCACUCAUCUGCACCACAGUCUUCAGGGCCUAGACCCUGAGCCUGACUCCAGGAGCUGGCAACAGUUUCACUCCUGUACGCAGGUCCCACCAGUAGCAGGCACACAGUCCUUCAGCACACGCGCACACACAGGAGAGACUGUGAAUACACAGAGAGAGAGUGUUGAGAAAAGAUUUCAUGAGAAAAUAGAAGAGACUGUGGUGAUCAGGCACAGGGCUCAGCCAGACAAACACACUGACUGGUCCUGGUUUAUACACAACUGGCUCUUUUUAACCCUUUUCCACCUGUCCCCUCUCUUUGUUCCUCCUGCUCCACCUUUCCCCUGCACAUCUCUAUGGGUUUGUAGAGCUCUGCAAUUUCUGCACCCUCCCAGUCCAGAUCAAGUUCAUGAUCUUAUCAGUUGCCAGGUUCAUCCUUCUUGGAAAUUGUGCCUGCAGCUUGUUAGCCUACUAAGUACUGAGACUGGGAGGUUUGUUUCUUGGGACUGUCUUCCACCUUAGAAGUCCUUCAUCAGAUAACCCUACUGGCAUAAAUAUUCCCACAUACUCACGUGCUCUCAUAAAUUAGCACCACUGACCAGACUUGUGUGAGGAAUGUUUUAACAAUUCCAAUUCGUGUCCAUAAAUUCGUGUCCAUAAAGAAUAAUUCUGUUUGAAUCCUGUCUGCCUCUGGGCCCUGCAAUGGCAGUUUAAUUCUUGAACCACAGAUGCAGUGUGCCCCAGUCUACCCCUCAUUCCAGUCAAUUUAUCACGUCUUCAGAAAACACUCCUUAAAUUUAUGAACCUGUUUGCUUUUGUUAUUCCUGACUUCUAGUUCUAACAGUUACAGCCUUUUUUCCUGUCUUCUUCGAGAUUAACUUAACACUGCUAUAGAUGUGUCUGUGAAUGGCUGGGGAAGAAUGUUUUAAUUACUCGUGAAGCGUCAAAUAAGAAAGCUGUUUGUGUUUGAUGUCUGGGAGUUUCAGAACAACUGAUAACAACUAGUGACUGUUAUGGGAUACUAUGUGGAUCUUUGGUAUCUGGCCAGGGGGCCAAGAGAUUGAGAGGAAGAGAAAAGAAGCUGAAGGACGGCUGGGAGACAAGACCUGGGAGAGUUUACAGAGAGUGUUCCAUAAACUUGGAAUAGUGCCAAGUAAGUGCAAAGGGUGAGAGGAAGACUACGAGCCUUCAGCAUGAAAGACCCCUAGAGACCCCCAGAGGAGACUGAUGCGCAUGCUCCAGUAGGAGGAACUGGACCCCGGAAGCUAAUUAUAAUAAUCUACUUUUUUAGAAGUAGAAAUGAAUAUGUAUUAGUCUAGGUGCAUAAAAAUCAGCUGCUUGAUGUAACUGGUGUGCGUCCUGGUGGAGCAGAGACUCCCGGUGCACCCAGCGCUGUUUGCUUACCUCUAUUCCUUUAUAUUCUUUUAAUAAAUCCUAUUUUUUUAUUUAAUCCUAAUUUGAA
rnacentral:lncRNA from 1 species